CGAAACAUAGCUUAAC
rnacentral:tRNA from 1 species